rnacentral:rRNA from 1 species
GCGGCGUACGGGUGCGGAACACGUGUGCAACCUGCCUUUAUCUGGGGGAUAGCCUUUCGAAAGGAAGAUUAAUACCCCAUAAUAUGUUGAAUGGCAUCAUUCGACAUUGAAAACUCCGGUGGAUAGAGAUGGGCACGCGCAAGAUUAGAUAGUUGGUGAGGUAACGGCUCACCAAGUCUACGAUCUUUAGGGGGCCUGAGAGGGUGAUCCCCCACACUGGUACUGAGACACGGACCAGACUCCUACGGGAGGCAGCAGUGAGGAAUAUUGGACAAUGGGUGAGAGCCUGAUCCAGCCAUCCCGCGUGAAGGACGACUGCCCUAUGGGUUGUAAACUUCUUUUGUAUAGGGAUAAACCUACCCUCGUGAGGGUAGCUGAAGGUACUAUACGAAUAAGCACCGGCUAACUCCGUGCCAGCAGCCGCGGUAAUACGGAGGGUGCAAGCGUUAUCCGGAUUUAUUGGGUUUAAAGGGUCCGUAGGCGGAUCUGUAAGUCAGUGGUGAAAUCUCACAGCUUAACUGUGAAACUGGCAUUGAUACUGCAGGUCUUGAGUGUUGUUGAAGUAGCUGGAAUAAGUAGUGUAGCGGUGAAAUGCAUAGA